UACGUAGGGGGCAAGCGUUGUCCGGAUUUAUUGGGCGUAAAGGAGCGUGUAGGCGGCCAGAAAAGUCCGCUGUGAAACUCGAGGCUCAACCUCGAGCUGUCGGUGGAAACCGUGUGGCUAGAGUCGGAAGAGGAGACUGGAAUUCCCGGUGUAGCGGUGGAAUGCGCAGAUAUCGGGAGGAACACCCGUGGCGAAGGCGGGUCUCUGGGACGGUACUGACGCUGAGACGCGAAAGCGUGGGGAGCGAACAGGG
rnacentral:rRNA from 1 species